rnacentral:rRNA from 1 species
GCGCAGCUGAUGGAGCACACCGCGUGAGUGAAGAAGGGUUUCGGCUCGUAAAACUCUGUUGUUGGAGAAGAACGUGCGUAAGAGUAACUGUUUACGCAGUGACGGUAUCCAACCAGAAAGUCACGGCUAACUACGUGCCAGCAGCCGCGGUAAUACGUAGGUGGCAAGCGUUAUCCGGAUUUAUUGGGCGUAAAGCGAGCGCAGGCGGUUGCUUAGGUCUGAUGUGAAAGCCUUCGGCUUAACCGAAGAAGUGCAUCGGAAACCGGGCGACUUGAGUGCAGAAGAGGACAGUGGAACUCCAUGUGUAGCGGUGGAAUGCGUAUAUAUAUGGAAGAACACCAGUGGCGAAGGCGGCUGUCUGGUCUGCAACUGACGCUGAGGCUCGAAAGCAUGGGUAGCGAACAGGAUUAGAUACC